GGCAGCUCAGACGCCUGGCUGGGAACUAAAGUAGCUGAAAACAAUCAAUUCUGCAAAUGCCUGAGCAGUUAUUUGCCUGCACUGUUAGGGGACUUGCAUAUAAUUUCAGUAAAAUGCAAAAUACUUCCCUUUCACAGCAAGAUUAACUUGUUUUUUUCACUUUCAUAAUCUGAAAUGAGCUUACAACAAGAGUGUUUAAGACUACUUCAGUAAAAUCCUCUGAGCAUCCUCUGGAAUUUUCAUCCAUGAGAAACGUCUGCAUCCUGCAAGCUGGCAAACCAGCAGAAGAGCAGCCCUGUCACCCUUCGCCCUGCCCAACCACAGACUGUGCAAUAAGCACAGGUAAGUGUUACUACGUGGGGAAAAGGAAAACGGGAAUCGUUAUUAACAGGGAAGAUGAAGUUAAGAUCACAGAUACAAAUCCUGUCCCCCACAUACAGGCAAACCUAGCGUUUCAGCAAACGCUGGAGAGACGCACCCUGCUCUGGGGCUGCUUAUCUCUGCGUACAGGAAGGGCUGGGGGCUGAAAUGCAGCGGGGUUUUGCAGGACCCCUGAUGAACUGGAGAAAUCCAGGCAGCUGCAGCUCAGCCGAGGUGUGCUCAGAUCAGAGGCAGAGACCCAAAGGGCUUUUCUGUUGGUUCUGCUUUUUUAAAGCAUAUAUAGACAUGAUAUUCAUGUAUUCCUCUCCUGCUACCAGGAGCCUACUUAUUAUCUAGCACAGAGAAGUGCAGACAUAUAAGCUGUUUUUUUAAGCCAUUGAUAUUUCUAUCAGUUCCAAUUUCAGUCUUGAAGGAUUUUUGCUGUAUUUUGGGAGUGCAAAGAGACUCAGCUGCCUCAAGUACACAAUUGCAUGUGAUAAUGCAAAGCAGAAGUCCCCUAAGAGUUUAAACUGCAAGGAAAACCAACACCUCCUAGGUUUGCCUGCUGAAUUCAAGAUCUAAAUUGCAUAAGCCUGGUAUUAAAAAGUCAUGUCCAAAUCAUUUGUGGUCCUAUCA
rnacentral:lncRNA from 1 species